AUGAAGACCGCAGCUAAAUGCGCGUCACAACUGUGAACUGCAGGACACAUGAACACCGAUAAGUUGAACGCAUAUUGCACGUCGUGCGACAUAGCAUGGCGUACACAUUUUUGAGCGCCCAAAUUUCAAACUUCACCUGCGCCGUGUUGGCCCCGCCGGCAGACCAGCGCGCUUACUGAAAGACACCCUAGAUACACCCGUCGAGUGUAGGUGGUUGCCAUUCAAGGAAAUAGUGUGGAUAUUGCAAACCCGUCCGUGUGCACCCAGUGCACGCGCUCCUUAGGGAUCAGGGGGCCCAACACACCUCACCGCCUCACGCCGAGGAGCAAAGAGUAUGUGUGUGUGUUGUUGGCCAUGGAAAGCCCGUCAUGCCCGAAAGAAAGAGAGACAGACUCAGCGCACGCCAUCGAACGAACUGGCUUGGAAAGGUGCGCGCUUGGGAGCAAUGAAAUGAAAUGUGGAUUAGGCGAGCACAACAACAACCUGUGCGUGCGUAACAUUUGGGCCUCAAAUAAUGUGU
rnacentral:rRNA from 1 species